ensembl:snRNA U6 U6 spliceosomal RNA
GUGCUUGCUUCAGCAGCACAUAUACUAAAUUUGGGAUGAUACAGAGAAGAUUAGCAUGGCCCCUAUGCAAGGAUGUACGCAAAUUCAGGAAGCAUUUCAUAUUUUU